rnacentral:rRNA from 1 species
ACGGAGGGUGCAAGCGUUAAUCGGAUUUAUUGGGCGUAAAGAGCGUGUAGGCGGGCUGAAAGGUCUGGUGUGAAAGCCCGGGGCUCAACCCCGGAGGGUCACUGGAAACCAUCAGUCUUGAAUCUGGAAGAGGAGAGUGGAAUUCCUGGUGUAGCGGUGGAAUGCGCAGAUAUCAGGAGGAACACCAAUGGCGAAGGCAGCUCUCUGGUACAUGAUUGACGCUGAGACGCGAAAGCGUGGGGAGCGAACAGGA